CGGUAAACAGAGGGAAGCGAGCCCGCGAGGGGGAGGCGAAUCCCAAAAAUAACGUCCCAGUUCGGAUUGUAGUCUGCAACCCGACUACAUGAAGCUGGAAUCGCUAGUAAUCGCGGAUCAGAAUGCCGCGGUGAAUACGUUCCCGGGUCUUGUACACACCGCCCGUCACACCAUGGGAGUCGGAAAUGCCCGAAGUCUGUGACCCAACCUCAGGGAGGGAGCAGCCGAAGGCAGGUCGGAUGACUGGGGUGAAGUCGUAACAAGGUAGC
rnacentral:rRNA from 1 species